ACCCAGGUGGUGGAAUUGGUAGACACGCCGGACUUAAAAUCCUGUUCUCCGCAAGGGGAGUGACGGUUCAACUCCGUUCCUGGGUACGA
rnacentral:tRNA from 1 species